AAAAUAGAUAAAUUUUAUGAUCACUCUUUGCGACCACGCACAUUUUGCAUUUGCGACCACAAAUUAUUUCAUCCAAGUUGAUAACAACUAACAUCAAUGAUGUGGUCGUACAUGCUCUUACAUGAAAAUUUGUUCUUUCACCACCAUGUUGUACAUGGCGCCACCAUGUCACUUUUUGCAAUACACUGUCAUGUCGCAGGGAUGCAUAUGCCUGAGCAUCCGUUGAAGGUCUUCCAAUCGAAGAAAAAGAUUUUUUUUGUGUAAAACAUAACGAAACAUAUUUUGAAUUGAGUUCUUUGUUUUCAACAAUAUAUUUCAGGAGAUAGAAUGUCAAAGUUUGCAAAGUUUGCUGUUCUGUAUGCAUGCAUUUUUGACAGCCAAAGUAGCAUCGGUUGAUCCAAAUUUUUUAAGUUUUGUUCAACAAAACUAAACAUAAAUGUCGAUGAGAUAAAGGACAGAAAUAUAAAAGAGAGAGAAAUGAGAGGAAACUAUGAUAUUAUAUUAAAAUCUAUUCAAUAAAUAUAUAAUAUUAUAAAUUCAAAA